rnacentral:rRNA from 1 species
GAUGAACGCUGGCGGCGUGCCUAAUACAUGCAAGUCGAGCGAACAGACGAGGAGCUUGCUCCUCUGACGUUAGCGGCGGACGGGUGAGUAACACGUGGAUAACCUACCUAUAAGACUGGGAUAACUUCGGGAAACCGGAGCUAAUACCGGAUAAUAUAUUGAACCGCAUGGUUCAAUAGUGAAAGACGGUUUUGCUGUCACUUAUAGAUGGAUCCGCGCCGCAUUAGCUAGUUGGUAAGGUAACGGCUUACCAAGGCAACGAUGCGUAGCCGAACUGAGAGGGUGAUCGGCCACACUGGAACUGAGACACGGUCCAGACUCCUACGGGAGGCAGCAGUAGGGAAUCUUCCGCAAUGGGCGAAAGCUUGACGGAGCAACGCCGCGUGAGUGAUGAAGGUCUUCGGAUCGUAAAACUCUGUUAUUAGGGAAGAACAAAUUUGUAAGUAACUAUGCACAUCUUGACGGUACCUAAUCAGAAAGCCACGGCUAACUACGUG